rnacentral:rRNA from 1 species
CCCUUAGAUGUCCUGGGCUGCACGCGCGCUACACUGAUGUGUCCAGUAAGCACCUAACCUCUUCCGAAAGGAACGGGUAACCUUUGCAAAGCACAUCGUGAUGGGGAUAGAUUAUUGCAAUGAUUAGUCUUGAACGAGGAAUUCCUAGUAAGCACAAGUCAUCAGCUUGUGUUGAUUACGUCCCUGCCCUUUGUACACACCGCCCGUCGCUCCUACCGAUUGAAUGUUCCGGUGAGCUCUUCGGACUGCGCGGUCUGCAGUUUCUGCGUUCCGUGCGGAAAGUUGCGCAAACCUUAACAUUUAGAGGAAGGAGAAGUCGUAACA